CCCCCCACACACCCCAUCCUAUGACCACAUGACCUGGUCUCCAUGCUACUUCCUCCCUCAGCCCAGCUAAUUAUGGCCAGUCACCUACCACAGGCUACUUUAUCAAAGAAUAUAAACAGGAAACAGAGAGCCACAGGGAGUUUAUCUACCAGGAGAAUAACCCAUGGCACCAAAGACCACCAGUCCAAGGCUCCCUCACAGACUGUCCCUAAUAACUGCCUUGUACAACCACUCUGCUCUUUCCUGAGCCUCUCUUUACCCUUUACAAUAGCCUAUGGCCACAACUCAUCCCCUCUUUUACAACAGGGCUGCUAAUAGUCCAGCCUCCAUUUGAAGAUGUCUUUUACCUCUCUAGACCCAGAUACUGUUCUAGUUCUGCCUACUUGGUGACUGUCUCAAGCCCUGUCACCUGACUCAUCCCUAUCCAAUGGGCUUCUAGCAUUUCCGACUCACUGUCUUGACUUCCUAUACUUUAUUUUUACUUUCACUUUACGCAGAACACAGAAUCUACCCCAACUCUAGCAGACCUCCCCUAGGUGCCAAGGAAGGGAAGAGGACUCCCAAAAACCAAAACGGAAUGCCUUUUCCUGAGCCAGGACACAGAGUAUGCAGGCCAGAUUCUCCCAAGUUGGCAUGAUGUGUUUCAGGUGAGAAAGAGACUAUUGCAAUGAAUCCCCAGUUGGGAAAUAUGAUGAGGAAUAUCAUUGGCUUGUGGACAAUAUCAUAUUUAUUCUCUACAUCUCUCUUACUCAUUGAGAGAGAACAUCUUCAGAAAAGGAAAUUUUGGUGGUAUCUGAACGGGAUCCUGACAGUGACUUCUUCAUUGGAAGUGGGUGCUUGUAUUUGUUAUUUGUGGACCCGGCACAGUUGCCAAGGGUUUAUUCUCAAUGAGGAUUUGAUGAACUGGCUUGCCUGGAGCCUCGUGUUGAUCUUCAUCACAUUCUCUAGGAAUAACAAUUAGGAAAUUUAUAUCUUCAUAUUUUUUCUUCCUUCUUAUGAUACUGAUGCUUUCAAUGAAUUUUGCUAAUAUUGAGAGCAUCAUCUUUCUGCUGCCUGUACUAAGGAUGUUUUUAUUACGUUUUUAAAAAAUUUUUUAUUUAAAGUCCUGAGUUCCAAAUUCUAUCUCUCCCUCACUCCCCUACUUCUUCUGCCCUGAGACUGUAAGCAAUCAAAUAUAAGUUACACGUGCAAUUAUGUAAAAUAUUUCUACAUUUGUCAUUUUGUACAAGACUAAAAUAAAAGAAAAAAAUGAAA